rnacentral:lncRNA from 1 species
AUGUUGUUCACUCUCAGCCAAACUGCUUUGUUUUCACAGAAUACGCUGCUGUCAUUCACAGUGGGCGGAGUCUUCAAAGAAGGUCAGUAUCAUAGUCGUCAUGGUUUUAAGAAGAUCCACUGCAACUCAUCUAUUCUCACUAACGCUUUCCUGGCUUUUUCAGUUGUUGUAGAUGAUAAAUCUAAAGAAUCUACAAGGUUUUCAUCACAGUUCCAGCAGUGGAUUCUGGUUUGUGCAUCAUCAACGACCAGCUCUUCAUCAGAAUGGCUACAACGGAGCAGAUCAGCAGAGCUUUUGUGCCCCGCCCCCUUCCUCCAGCCCAGUGCCCACCCUCACUGCCCCACAGCAGGAGAUGCUCAGCACCUUCUCCCUGAAGUCAGACAUGAACCUGGAAUGGUCCCUGAAGUAGGUGUCCUCUCCUAAUGACGUCUACCAGACUAGGAUGAAUGUCACAGCUCACUGGUAAACACUGUCUGUGUGUUGCAGGUGUCUGCAGGACAACAAGUGGGACUUGAACAAAGCAAAACUGUUUUCCAAAUAUUUUCACUAAAAUCAGAGUUAAUAACUUUUAAAAUAUAAUUUAUUUUCAAAGGAAGAAGAAAAACAUUAUGGUUCAAUGUCUGCUUCAAUAAUUUAUUUCUCUUUUUUAAUAAACACUUUUUUUCAAAUAAAGUAAAAGCA